UGAAAGAGGCUCGUGGGCCAAGACGUGAGAGGGGUUGGGUUAUACUUGCGUAGCAUGGACAUAUGGAACACAUUUUGGACCCUGGAAAGUUCUUGAGGCAGUGCCAGUCUAUAGGCUGUAGUACCAAUUCUGUCUAAGAUUUUAGAUUGUCCAAUAAAUCAAGGAUUCAGUUUCUCCAUCUUGCCGAACCUACUGAUUUCCUUGAAGGGAGUGACAUUGAGAACACCUAAUCACCUUUCUCAAAUUCCAAAUCCCUC
rnacentral:lncRNA from 1 species